AGAUUAGUAAUGUCGGAUGGCCGACGCGUAGUUAUAGAAUUUAAAAAACUUUUUUUUAUCAGGAUUAUUGAGGUUAACUUUAGGUGGGAAAAUGUAAAAACUUUACUUUUCCCGCAAGCGCGAACACGAGUUUCCCCCUUUCUGCAGAGCACGAGUUUGCCCCUGUGAAAGAACGCAAGUGAGAGUGAGUGAGUUCAAAGUGUGGGCUGGAGCGGCGAGCCUUCUACGAGGAGCGACGAGGCUCAUGUGAGAUUCAACUUUCUAACUUCUCUGUGAGUUUGAGGAACAAUCCCUUUCUGUGUGAACAGGUUUAGAGUUCGAAGAAUAACACAGGACGAGUUGCCCCUUUCUCUACGAAUAGUGAAGCGGCUCCCUUCUCUACGACAAAAUGGUGGUUGAGAGGCGCAAUUAGGAGGCCGUUGAGUGGCAAAACCUAAACUUUGCGAGGCAAUGAGUUUUCGUUCACCAGGUGGAUUUUUGAAGCAUCCAAGUAAGUAAUUAAAGUCCCAUUUACUGCAUUGUUGAUUUGGUUUAGGGUUCCAAUUAGUUCUUCGUGAUUACGCGUUUCCUUCGAGUUAUACAUGAAUUUGAAGAUUUGUUGGAUAUUAAAUACUUUCCUUUGAGUUAUACAUGAGUUUGACCAUUCAUGGAUUACUGAGUUGAUGAUAGAGUAGGGACCAAUAAAAUACGCCAGAUUCAAUGGUGGGGAUCGCAAGGAGAGAAAGAUUCGGUGGUGGCAUGGAAAAUGAGAAAGGUGUAUUAGGCGUAAGGAAUUUGACAGUUAUUGAUUUUUCUCUUCUUGGAUUCAACUACUGUGAUGCAAAAAUGAAUGAUCUAUAUUGAUAGCAGUUUGUUUAUGCUUCCUCAUAUUUGUAUGGUGAAGGGGGAGAAAGUAUUGAAGGAAGGUAGAACAAAGCUACAGUAUACAUUGGAACUAUGGCUUAUUUCCACAAACAUAGGAAGAUCCAUCUUUUGCAAACUCUGAAGUUGAAGAAGCAUUGGGAGAUAAGGAUCCAGUUGUUGUUGAUAUUGGGGAAAGAUAGAGGAAAAUAGGUGAGGUUGUCAAGGUCAAACCCUUGGGUACAUUAGCCAUGAUUAGUGCAAUUUUUUUUAUUGUUAGUGCUUAAAGUUAACAUAAACUCAUUGACUUGAUUUUUAUUUGAUUUCUUAUUAAUUGAGAAGCUAGUCUUCGUCCCCAUUCAGCCGACGAAAAAUUGAUUUGCAUCGGGAAUAUUAGCGUGCUCCACAUCACCGUCACUGUACCGACGCCAUUUUACUCUUAGAGUCGGCUUUGACCUUUUGGCGUCCCAUUUUAGCCGACGCUAAAUGCUUACAUUCUUGUAGUGGAUAUAUAAUAGUUACUUGAUAUACGAAUAUUGAAAAUGUAUAAUAAUUUUUACAAACAUAAUAAAUAUAUGAUUGUUAU